UACGUAGGGGGCGAGCGUUGUCCGGAGUUACUGGGCGUAAAGGGCAUGAAGGCGGUCGGACGCGUUUCGGGUGACAGCGGGUGGCUUAACUACCCGAGUGGUCGAAAGACGGUUUGACUUGAGGACGCGAGAGGGACACGGAAUUCCGGGUGGAGUGGUGAAAUGCGUAGAGAUCCGGAGGAACACCGAAGGCGAAGGCAGUGUCCUGGCGCGUAACUGACGCUGAGGUGCGAAAGCCAGGGGAGCGAACGGG
rnacentral:rRNA from 1 species